ACAGUCACAAAAACCAUUUCUGUAAUCUGAAAGGACGUUGGGAAGGGAGUCACGGUGGCUGCGGAGAUGAAUUAUGAGGCUGUCGCCUCUCAUCUGCAGCUGCUCUGUCUCUGAAAGCAACUUUGGAGAGAGUCUAGAAGGACACAGCUUCCUCCUUUAAUCAGCCGAGGAGCCAGGAUGCUACUUCCAGGAAAUCCGCUACUCAACGUGGAUGGAUUCCCUGUCCGGGAAGGAAACCAGAUUGCCUUCACAGCAGGGAGGAGCUCGCUGCCUGCCUUGCCAGCCAGGUGGAAUUUCAUUUCUCUAUGCUCGUGGGAUCUUGCACUUUAAUAAAGUUUCGUUAGUCACUGAUA